AGCGAACGCUAGCGGCGGGCUUAACACAUGCAAGUCGAGCGAGAACUUCGGUUCUAGCGGCGAACGGGUGAGUAACACGUAGAUGACGUACCCUUUGGCGGGGGAUAACUCAGGGAAACCUGAGCUAAUACCGCAUAUGUCCUUCGGGAUGAAAGGCUUCGGCCACCAGAGGAUCGGUCUGCGGCCCAUUAUCUAAUCCUAGUUGGUAGGGUAACGGCCUACCAAGGGUACGAUGGGUAGCUGGUCUGAGAGGAUGAUCAGCCACACUGGGACUGAGACACGGCCCAGACUCCUACGGGAGGCAGCAGUGGGGAAUAUUGGACAAUGGGCGAAAGCCUGAUCCAGCCACGCCGCGUGAGUGAUGAAGGCCCUAGGGUUGUAAAGCUCUGUCGGGAGGGACGAAGGCUUCGGCUUGACGGUACCUCGCAAGAAAGCACCGGCUAACUUCGUGCCAGCAGCCGCAGUAAAAC
rnacentral:rRNA from 1 species